rfam:Phoenicopterus ruber ruber contig109888, whole genome shotgun sequence.
CCAGGAAAAUGACCUAUGAAUUGACAGGCUGCUUUCUAAAUUUGCCUGUCAUUUCUAUAGGCCAAUAUUCUGC